rnacentral:lncRNA from 1 species
UUGGCCACAGGACUUCCUUGCCUUGCCGCCUACUUCAACCCAUACUUAUAUGGCAGAAUAGUUUACAUUCUUUACCACCCGUGUUUCCUGCUCUUGGGAGCUCUCCCAGCCCAUAUGACAUUGGCCACCUUUGCUUGUGAGGAUUUUUUGAUGCUGGCUUUAUUAAAUCUAAUUUGGUGUACAUAAGUGUACCGGCUUCAGUUUUGCAUUCAGAUGCUACUUAUCUAACAGGCAUUAGCUAAAAGGUACUUCUUGCUGAAUAUACCAAGCAAUUGCAGCUCCAGAUGGCUUAGCUGGGAGUGAAAGGUCAUCAGCAUCUUCAGAACACGUGAAGAAUAGGAUUUUUUUUUGUUGCUAUAAGCAUUAAACUUGAAAGAUGAGCCAUAAAAUAAGGAAAAAAAGUUCUGUAAUUAUGGUUAAGAAAUGGUUCUUUUGUGUGUGAAGUGCUUGUUAUUGAAGAACGUUUGCCAUUUCCUUUGAUGUUGUGUGGAAAGCUAACAUAUUUGAAUGUUUUUAUUUAUCAGGAGGAAUUCAGCUUUGCUGAAAUCAGAAAGCACUGAAAUCAGGGGACAGCUAUCUUUCAGGGGUCGAACACAAGGGGCCUUUGUGUAUUCCCAACAACUCCAAAAAUAAUGCUUUCAUUUUUAUUUACUGUUAUUUUUCCAGUUUAAUAACCACCUCAGAUAAGACCAUGAAGAAACAGCAUCCAUAAUGAGAGGGAAGUACCUGAGAGGAGGCUUGUUGGCAUUGCAAAUGGAGGAACUUGAGAACUGCCAUGCUGGUGCUGUUGUUCUGAUGUCUGUGCUGCUGACCAUGGUCAGUAACAAGCACCAUAAAGGAAGGCGAACAUUCCUGAGCACUGGGAUGACUGUCAUCAGCAUGGCUAGACUGAUAAAGAUGCAUUAG